AAUGGGGGCAACCCUGAUCCAGCCAUUCCGCGUGAGUGAAGAAGGCCUUUGGGUUGUAAAGCUCUUUCAGCUGGAGUGAAACGGUGCGCUCUAACAUAGCGUGCUAAUGACGGUACCAGCAGAAGAAGCACCGGCUAACUACGUGCCAGCAGCCGCGGUAAUACGAAGGGUGCGAGCGGUAAUCGGAAUUACUGGGCGUAAAGCGUGCGCAGGCGGAUUGUUAAGCAAGACGUGAAGUCCCCGGGCUGAACCUGGGAAUGGCGUUUUGAACUGGCAGUCUAGAGUGCGUCAGAGGGGGGUGGAAUUCCACGUGUAGCAGUGAAAUGCGUAGAGAUGUGGAGGAACACCGAUGGCGAAGGCAGCCCCCUGGGAUGACACUGACGCUCAUGUACGAAAGCGUGGGUAGCAAA
rnacentral:rRNA from 1 species